rnacentral:tRNA from 1 species
CUCAGUGUAGAGCAGAGGACUGAAAAUCCUGGUGACACUUCUCACAUUAAA